rfam:Lachnoclostridium sp. YL32, complete genome.
UAAACUCUUCAGGGCAGGGUGCAAUUCCCUACCGGUGGUACAGCCCACGAGCCGCAAGGCAUGAUUCGGUGAAACUCCGAAGCCGACAGUACAGUCUGGAUGAAAGAAGAUGAAU